AGCCUGCUUCCUCUUCGGUUUCACGGAGCGCUGUCUCCAUUUUCGUUUCGCCGGGGUCUACAUGACCUGUGACAACAUAAAAAGCUCAAUAGAAUCGAGGCCUGCAUUUGUCUUUCGAUAGGUGCAAAAGGUUAUGUAUCAGAGAUAAAUCAGAGAUAAAUAUCACGAAAAUACAAGACACGGACAAACGACAAACGUGAUACAAACCUUUCGGCGGUGUCCAAUGAUGCUGGCCGUACGAAGUUUGCAAUAACAGGUACUCGAUGACCCCCUGAAUUCGACGGAAAAUAACAAAUCCGCAAGCUUGACGUGCCAUCCUAUCUUCGAUGCAGUUAACUUGCGACUAACGCAAUUAGAGCGGGGCGGGGAUAGGUCUAUGAUAUAUGUGUGAAAAAGAAAUAACUGACCACUCCAAUUGAUAAUUAGAUCUUAUCGAUUCUUUGAGGUUCUUCCACAUAUUUCGAAACAUGAUAUAAGAAGAGCGGAUAGAUAGCGCUAGUGUGACGUUGGGUGCGGAAUAACUGCUGUCAUUCAACGCAGGACAUUGAUCAUAUCCUCUCAUUUUGUUACUAGGGAAAAACUACCUUGUCAUAUCUAUAAUUUCUUUAGAAAACCUGAUAUAUUGUAGCUCUCAAGAUAGUAUACAAGUUCCGGAUUUAUACAAACACAAAAAUUUAAUCUAGUAUUAUACUUCUUAUUUGUACACAAAUAUUUUGCUUCUCUCAUCUUUCAUAUUAUAUCAUACAUAUUCCCAACUAUAGAUAGCAAACAUAAGAUAGCAAAUUUUUGUAUCAAAGAUUUGUAGACCUAGGUGUCUAAAGUUGUUUUUUUUAAUAAAAAAAAAGGUGGAUAAAUAAUAGCAAUGCAUCUAUGCACUUGAAAGCAACAAUGCAAUAGCGAAGCAGUGGAUCUAGCGAGACAUACUUCUUACGCGAGUAUGGGCCCAGAAUGUAUUCACACUGUUUUAUACAAGCUUUUUAAAUUAUAAAAGAGAAAUUAAUAGACAAUAUUUGCUUCAGAUUCGUAUGCAUGGAAUGUAUCGAUUCCUGAUCGCCAAUGGUGGGAAUAAAAAAUAUUUAUUUCGA